rnacentral:rRNA from 1 species
UGCGGGGGGGGCAAGCGUUGUUCGGAAUUACUGGGCGUAAAGGGCUCGUAGGUGGCCAACUAAGUCAGACGUGAAAUCCCUCGGCUUAACCGGGGAACUGCGUCUGAUACUGGAUGGCUUGAGUUUGGGAGAGGGAUGCGGAAUUCCAGGUGUAGCGGUGAAAUGCGUAGAUAUCUGGAGGAACACCGGUGGCGAAGGCGGCAUCCUGGACCGGCAUUGACGCUGAGGCGCGAAAGCUAGGGGAGCAAACGGG